rnacentral:rRNA from 1 species
CCUACGGGGGGCUGCAGUGGGGAAUAUUGCACAAUGGGCGCAAGCCUGAUGCAGCCAUGCCGCGUGUGUGAAGAAGGCCUUCGGGUUGUAAAGCACUUUCAGCGGGGAGGAAGGCGGUGAGGUUAAUAACCUCAUCGAUAGACGUUACCCGCAGAAGAAGCACCGGCUAACUCCGUGCCAGCAGCCGCGGUAAUACGGAGGGUGCAAGCGUUAAUCGGAAUUACUGGGCGUAAAGCGCACGCAGGCGGUCUGUCAAGUCGGAUGUGAAAUCCCCGGGCUCAACCUGGGAACUGCAUACGAAACUGGCAGGCUAGAGUCUUGUAGAGGGGGGUAGAAUUCCAGGUGUAGCGGUGAAAUGCGUAGAGAUCUGGAGGAAUACCGGUGGCGAAGGCGGCCCCCUGGACAAAGACUGACGCUCAGGUGCGAAAGCGUGGGGAGCAAACAGGAUUAGAUACCCGAGUAGUC